AGAGUUUGAUCAUGGCUCAGAGCGAACGCUGGCGGCAUGCUUAACACAUGCAAGUCGCACGGUUGGAGCAAUCCAACAGUGGCGGACGGGUGAGUAACGCGUGGGAAUCUGUCUCCGGGUGGGGGAUAACGAUGGGAAACUAUCGCUAAUACCGCAUGAUGCCCGAGGGCCAAAGGCGCAAGCCGCCUGGAGAGGAGCCC
rnacentral:rRNA from 1 species